rnacentral:rRNA from 1 species
GACGAACGCUGGCGGCGUGCUUAACACAUGCAAGUCGAACGGAAAGGCCCUGCUUUUGUGGGGUGCUCGAGUGGCGAACGGGUGAGUAACACGUGAGUAACCUGCCCUUGACUUUGGGAUAACUUCAGGAAACUGGGGCUAAUACCGGAUAGGAGCUCCUGCUGCAUGGUGGGGGUUGGAAAGUUUCGGCGGUUGGGGAUGGACUCGCGGCUUAUCAGCUUGUUGGUGGGGUAGUGGCUUACCAAGGCUUUGACGGGUAGCCGGCCUGGGAGGGUGGCCGGCCACAUUGGGACUGCGAUACGGCCCAGACUCCUACGGGAGGCAGCAGGGGGGAAUAUUGCACAAUGGGCGGAAGCCUGAUGCAGCAACGCCGCGUGCGGGAUGACGGCCUUCGGGUUGUAAACCGCUUUCGCCUGUGACGAAGCGUGAGUGACGGUAAUGGGUAAAGAAGCACCGGCUAACUACGUG